UACUAGCUUUGUUGCUUUGUGCCUCAC
rnacentral:piRNA from 1 species